rnacentral:rRNA from 1 species
GAUGAACGCUGGCGGCGUGCCUAAUACAUGCAAGUAGAACGCUGAAGGAGGAGCUUGCUCUUCUGGAUGAGUUGUGAACGGGUGAGUAACGCGUAGGUAACCUGCCUGGUAGCGGGGGAUAACUAUUGGAAACGAUAGCUAAUACCGCAUGACAACAGUUAUUGCAUGAUAACUGUUUAAAAGGGGCAACUGCUCCACUACCAGAUGGACCUGCGUUGUAUUAGCUAGUUGGUGAGGUAACGGCUCACCAAGGCGACGAUACAUAGCCGACCUGAGAGGGUGAUCGGCCACACUGGGACUGAGACACGGCCCAGACUCCUACGGGAGGCAGCAGUAGGGAAUCUUCGGCAAUGGACGGAAGUCUGACCGAGCAACGCCGCGUGAGUGAAGAAGGUUUUCGGAUCGUAAAGCUCUGUUGUAAGAGAAGAACGAGUGUGAGAGUGGAAAGUUCACACUGUGACGGUAUCUUACCAGAAAGGGACGGCUAACUACGUG